rnacentral:lncRNA from 1 species
ACAUGAACUGACUAUUAUUCUGAAGCUUCUCAGAAAGGAGUUGCAAUAUUGCUCACUUUCUCCCUAUAAAUACCACCACAAUUCCCUGUUGCACUCAUCCAUACAAACUUUCAACUCAUUUCACCAACAACAGCUACUUUUUUCUCGAAAAAAAGAUCAAGAGAUUCUUUGCUUACUUCUUGGAAAGCCGAACAAAAUGUUGCACAACCUCUUUGACAAAAUCACAGGCCAGGAGCAGAAUGGGAAAAACAGUAGGAAGAUCCAAGGGACUGUGGUUUUGAUGAAGAAGAAUGUGUUGGAUUUCAAUGACUUCAAUGCUUCUGUUCUUGAUCGUGUGCAUGAACUGCUAGGCCAAGGGGUUUCUCUGCAGCUCAUCAGUGCUGAUCAUGGAGACUCUGGUGAGUUUUUUUUUUUUUUUUUUCUCUCUCUCUCUUUAAUUUUCAUUAAAAAUGUAUAGUUUUUAUGGCUUCAUUGAUUGAAUAUGCAUGACAUGAAACCAAUUUGAGUUUUGCUCUUGUUUCAUUUCCUUGUAAUUCUUUUUCUUUGAAGCAAUUAUGAUAAGAUUAAGAAGAUGAACCAAUAACUCUAUCUUUUUCCUUGGUGGAUUAGUUGGGUUCAGAUUAUGUCAUUAAUCUCUUUGAUCUUCAUCAAAACUUGGCUAUAUCUGGCUUUUAGGUCCAAUAAAUCAGAUUUUGAAUGCAAUUCUGAUAUAGCCAGGCAAUGGAAACAGCUUUUUGACAAUUCAAAGGGCACCCGGGUCAAUUAAUCCAUUUUUUGGGUCCAGUCAUGAGGCAUUUGGAAUGUAGUGGUCUUGAGCUUACCCCUUCCAACACUCUCUCAUUGUGAUUGAAGGUGCCCCAACAUUGUUUUUGCCCUGUCUGUAUGCAAGUGAUUUGGUGGCUAAAAGUACAGUAGAGACAUUACUAUUUUAAUGGCAAGGGUUUUAUAGUCAAUCUAACAGCAUCAAUAUUUAUUGUACUAUUUGGUGUGCUACAUGAGAAAUCUAUAUUAUUUUGGUUGGUCUCUAUCAUUCGGAGGAAACAAACACUUUUUAAUUCAUCUUCUUCUUGUAACUAUGUCAUCCUCGUUUAUGGUAACAAAAAAUUUGAUUAAAAAACCAGUUUAGUUUUGAAAGAUAUGAAAAUGAUUUUUAAAUCAUGGCCAUCAGCCAUUCCAUUUGGUGGUCAUGUCAGGAAGUGAAUAGACAGGAAAGCUAAUCUUUUUCUUACCUGUGAACGCCAACUACCAGUCUAGCUACCAGUUAACAUGAAAAUGAAGCUCCAUGCAGUUGGCUGUUGGCUGUUGGCAUAGCUUUAAGCCUUUUUCUGAUUAUGGUUUUUUACUCAGAUCCAAUAAUUUUUUGUUUUCCUUCGAAUAUUCUGAAGAAACAGCCGCAGGUUCUGUUCCUAAUAAAAUUUUGAACACGCAUUGAAAAUUACAACAACUUGCAUAAAAUGGCUACAACUAAGACCUGAUUUGAGGUGUUUAGAACAAAAUUUCGGAUGAACUUUAUUCUAUUGGAAAUAUUAAUUGAUUUGUUUAUGAGGUACUAGAUAUGGAAUUAUUUUCUGAACUUGGAGAAAUGUGUUUUUGUAGAAAACGGGUUUAAGGGGAAACUUGGAGAGCCAGCAUAUCUGGAAGACUGGAUCACCACAAUCACUCCAUUAACUGUAGGAGAUUCUGCAUACAACGUUACCUUCGACUGGGAAGAGGAAAUAGGAGUUCCAGGAGCUAUCUUAAUAAAAAACAAUCAUCACAGUGAGUUCUUCCUUAAGACUAUCACCCUUGAAGAUGUUCCUCGUGAGGGCCGGGUCCACUUUGUUUGCAACUCAUGGGUGUACCCUGCAGAAAAAUACACGAAAGACCGUGUUUUCUUCGUUAACAAGGUAACGAAUGAUUCACACAAUCCAUUACAAUCUGCUGUAGUUUCUGUUGUAGCUGAUGGAAGUUUUAAAUUCUAAGUGCAAGCCUAGUAUAUUAUGAGGAUAUUUGUGGCUUGUAUCUUAAGUUAAAGACUAACAUUCAAGCCUUGUAUAUGUUUGUGCAGACAUUUCUCCCAAGUGAAACACCGUUGCCACUGCGAAAAUACAGAGAAGAAGAACUAGUACACUUGAGAGGAGAUGGAAAGGGAGAGCUCCAGGAAUGGGACAGGGUCUAUGACUAUGCUUACUACAAUGAUCUAGGGAACCCUGAUAAGGGUCCCAAAUACGCCCGACCAACUCUGGGAGGGUCUAGCGAGUACCCUUACCCUCGCAGGGGAAGAACCGGCAGACCAGCAACGAAGACAGGUUAGCCAUUUAAAUAUCUUUGUGUCAUUUUUUGUUCCUCAAAUCAUUAAUUAGCAGUCACAAGAGGGAUCAUAUUUUGUAUUGGAUUUUAAUUAACUGAUGUUGUAAUUAUCACUAUGAUUUUUCUGAUCUUAUUCUAACAGAUUCUAACAGUGAGAGUAGGAUUCCACUUCUUAUGAGCUUAAACAUUUAUGUGCCAAGAGAUGAACGAUUUGGACACUUGAAGUUGUCAGACUUUCUGGCUUAUGCACUGAAAUCCAUAGUUCAAUUCAUUAGGCCAGAGCUAGAAGCCCUGUUUGAUAAGACUCCUAACGAGUUUGACAGCUUGGAAGAUGUGCUUAAACUCUAUAAAGGAGGCAUUCCAUUGCCUGAAGGUUUAUUGAAGGAUAUCGGAGACAAUAUCCCUGCAGAGAUGCUCAAGGAAAUUUUCCGAACUGACGGUGCACAAUUGCUCAGAUUCCCCAUGCCUCAAGUGAUCGAAGGUAUAUGCUUCCACCAAUGAGAAAUUCUGAAUUUAGAGGCUUUAAGCAAUAGCCUAUGAUAUCAUGUACUAUUUCCUUUUAUCUAAUUCUGAUGUUUUCAUGAUUUGGAGCAGAGGAUAAGUCUGCAUGGAGGACUGAUGAAGAAUUUGCCAGAGAAAUGCUGGCUGGAGUGAACCCUGUCAACAUUAGUCUUCUCCAAGUAAUAAUCUUCACAACAUUUUGUGUGUGUGAUGUUUUCCAAUGAUAAUGGAUGAAAAACAAACCAUACUUUCGAGGGUCCAUUUUGUUCAUAUGUAAUCACAUUUGCUUCUAACUGAACUGCAGGAAUUUCCACCAGCAAGCAAACUAAACCCAAAAGUUUAUGGAGAUCAAACCAGUAGAAUAACAGAACAGGAUAUAGGGAACAAGUUGGAUGGACUAACAGUGCAUGAGGUAAUAUCUUGGAUUUGCUUCCUUUACAUUGUAUUAGCUUAUGUUUGAGUUUAUAUCAUUUCAUAAUGAUGAAAAUGAAUUUGGUUGGAUAGGCACUCAAGCAGAACAAGUUAUUCAUAUUGGAUCAUCAUGAUGCAUUGAUGCCGUACCUGAGGCGGAUAAACUCAACUUCCAACAAGAUCUAUGCUAGCAGAACAGUUCUUUUCUUGAAAAGUGAUGGAACUUUGAAGCCAUUGGUGAUUGAAUUAAGCUUGCCUCAUCCUGAUGGAGAUCAAUUUGGUCGCAUUAGUAAAGUAUAUACACCAGCUGAAGAGGGUGUAGAAGGCUCCAUAUGGCAACUGGCUAAAGCUUAUGUGGCUGUAAAUGACUCUGGAUAUCAUCAACUUAUCAGUCACUGGUACUAAUCUUUCAAAGAAAGAAAUCUUAGAAAAUGAAUUCAUCAUAUUACUUUGAAUUGGAUUUCUGAUAAUCCUUUUAUCUUUUGGCCACAGGUUGAACACCCACGCAGUGUGUGAGCCAGUUGUAAUAGCUACAAACAGGCAGCUAAGCGUGGUUCACCCAAUUUACAAACUUCUGCAUCCUCACUUCCGUGACACCAUGAACAUAAAUGCAUUUGCCAGGCAAAUCCUGAUCAAUGCUGGCGGCAUUCUGGAGACAACAGUUUUUCCUGCUAGGUAUGCCAUGGAGAUGUCAUCAGUGGUUUAUAAGGAUUGGGUUUUCACUGAGCAAGCUCUCCCUGCAGAUCUCAUCAAGAGGUAAACAAAAAUCUACACUUUGUGAGUUAAUUGCCUCUGCACAAGUAACUCAAAUGAGCACAAGAUAAGUAAUAAAUAUCCAUUCCUUAUUCUAAUUACAUUGCUUUGCCUUUGAUCAAUACAGAGGAGUUGCAGUCAAGGAUGCAAAUUCUCCACAUGGUCUUCGCCUACUGAUCGAGGACUAUCCAUAUGCCGUUGAUGGGAUUGAAAUCUGGUUUGCAAUUAAAACUUGGGUUGACGACUAUUGCUCUUUCUACUACAAGACUGAUGACAUAAUUCAAAAAGACAUUGAACUCCAAUCCUGGUGGAAGGAGCUUGUAGAGGAAGGCCAUGGUGACAAAAGAGAUGAGCCCUGGUGGCCUAAAAUGCAGACUCGCGAAGACCUAGUCGAAACAUGCACUAUCAUCAUAUGGACUGCUUCUGCUCUCCAUGCAGCCGUCAACUUUGGACAGUACCCUUAUGCAGGAUACCUCCCCAACCGGCCAACUAUAAGCCGAAAAUUCAUGCCUGAGAAGGGGACUCCUGAGUACAAAGAGCUCGAAUCCAGCCCUGAUACAGUUUUCUUGAAAACAAUUACUGCUCAGCUGCAGACAGUGCUUGGCAUUGCCCUCAUUGAAAUUCUGUCAAGGCAUUCUACUGAUGAAGUGUAUUUGGGGCAGAGAGACACUCCUGAGUGGACAGCAGACACAGAACCAUUGAAAGCCUUUGAUAAAUUUGGAAGUAAACUGGCUGAAAUUGAGGACAGAAUUACACGUAUGAACAACGAUGAGAAACUGAAGAACCGAGUUGGACCGGUGAAGAUGCCAUACACUUUGCUGUUUCCUACUAGCGAAGGAGGACUAACUGGCAGGGGAAUUCCCAACAGUGUCUCAAUCUAAGCCUCAUAAGCUAGUAUAUAGACUAAAGUUAAUUAGUAUAAUGCAAGUUGCAAUUACUAUAUAUAAUUAAGUAGUAUAAUGCAUUCUUUAUGUUACAUAAGCUAGAAUAUUACAGUUGCAAUAAGGCCUUGUAAAUUGCUUGGCUACAAUAUCUUUAUAUAAAGAACACUGUAUUCAUUGGUUCAUUAGCUUCCUUGCAAGCCUUUCAAGUUCUGCAGCAACAGCCUAGGCAUAUGCAAUAUCAACAUUUCAUCCAAGAUAUUGGAAAGUAUGAAAAUCAGAAUUUUAAGCCUUACUUUUAAUAAGCAUAUUUGAGAGGGAGCAGCAAAAGCAUUUUUGAAAUCAUCCAUGACAAUAUGCAUAAGCGCCU